AAUCUGCCUAUAACUGAGGGAUAGCCCAGAGAAAUUUGGAUUAAUACCUCAUAAUAUUGUUUUUUGGCAUCAUUAAACAAUUAAAACUUCGGUGGUUAUAGAUGAGCAUGCGUCCUAUUAGCUUGUUGGUAAGGUAACGGCUUACCAAGGCAACGAUAGGUAGGGGGCCUGAAAGGGUGAUCCCCCACACUGGUACUGAGACACGGACCAGACUCCUACGGGAGGCAGCAGUGAGGAAUAUUGCGCAAUGGAGGAAACUCUGACGCAGCCAUGCCGCGUGCAGGAAGACGGCCCUACGGGUUGUAAACUGCUUUUAUAUAGGAAGAAACCCCGAUACGUGUAUCGGCUUGACGGUACUAUAUGAAUAAGGACCGGCUAACUCCGUGCCAGCAGCCGCGGUAAUACGGAGGGUCCAAGCGU
rnacentral:rRNA from 1 species